GCAUAUCAAUAAGCGGAGGAAAAGAAACUAACAAGGAUUCCCUUAGUAACGGCGAGUGAAGCGGGAAAAGCUCAAGCUUGAAAUCGGCACCUGGAGAACGGGUGUUGAGUUGUAGCUUUUGGAAGCAGGUAUCUAGCCACUAAUUGCGGUGAAAGUUCUUUUGAAUAAGACAUCAAAGAGGGUGAUAAUCCCGUCCUUGACAGCAAUUUUCAAGUGGUGAUGCGAACUGUUUUCUGUGAGUCGGGUUGUUUGGGAAUGCAGCCCUAAUUGGGAGGUAAAUUUCUUCCAAAGCUAAAUAUUAGUAAGAGACCGAUAGCAAACAAGUACCGUGAGGGAAAGAUGAAAAGCACUUUGAAAAGAGAGUGAAAAGUACGUGAAAUUGUUGAAAGGGAAGCGGUUAGUAGCCAAGCAGUUCUUGUUGCUAGGGCGUUUACGCGUCAGAGCAACAGGAGGGUCAACAUCGAUUACUGUUUUUAGCUGCCAGAAAGGAAAUUUUGCGGUUUAGCAGAGGAAGGUAGGGAGAUUCGUUCCUAUUGUUUUUUUCGGAAAGCAGUGGGGUUAUAUAGCGGAUUUCUUGUUAUAGCCUCUAUGGAAUCGCUUUUUAAGCCUAGUGGUGGCGGUGAUCGAGGAAGAUAGUGCGUGUUGAGAAGGGAGAUUUUUUUUUGAACUUCUUGAUGGCCAGUAUGCGCUCCGGUUUGUGAUUGCACUUUGCAGACAGCUUGCUGACUGCGAGGUAGUAUGUUGCAGACAUUUUGGGGGCGUAUUCGGGAUUAAAUAGCACUUUGGAUGUUGGCGAAAAGGCACUAAUCGACCCGUCUUGAAACACGGACC
rnacentral:rRNA from 1 species